AUUGAACGCUGGCGGCAGGCCUAACACAUGCAAGUCGAGCGAGCGGCGGACGGGUGAGUAAUGUAUGGGGAUCUGCCUGAUAGAGGGGGAUAACUACUGGAAACGGUGGCUAAUACCGCAUACCAUCGGAUGUACCCAUAUGGGAUUAGCUAGUAGGUGGGGUAAAGGCUCACCUAGGCGACGAUCCCUAGCUGGUCUGAGAGGAUGACCAGCCACACUGGAACUGAGACACGGCCCAGACUCCUACGGGAGGCAGCAGUGGGGAAUAUUGCACAAUGGGCGAAAGCCUGAUGCAGCCAUGCCGCGUGUAUGAAGAAGGCCUUAGGGUUGUAAAGUACUUUCAGCGGGGAGGCGUUACCCGCAGAAGAAGCACCGGCUAACUCCGUGCCAGCAGCCGCGGUAAUUC
rnacentral:rRNA from 1 species